rnacentral:rRNA from 1 species
UACAGGGGGCGCGAGCGUUGCUCGGAAUCACUGGGCGUAAAGCGUACGCAGGCGGAUCGGUAAGUCCGUUGUGAAAUGCCGCGGCUCAACCGUGGAACUGCCUUAGAUACUGACGGCCUCGAGGAAGGUAGGGGCAUGCGGAACUGUAGGUGGAGCGGUGAAAUGCGUUGAUAUCUACAGGAACUCCGGUGGCGAAAGCGGCGUGCUGGACCUUUUCUGACGCUGAGGCGCGAAAGCUAGGGGAGCAAACGGG